AACGGAGAUAGCUUGCUAUCAGACGUCGAGCGGCGGACGGGUGAGUAAUGCCUAGAUAUCUGCCUAGUCGUGGGGGAUAACAGUUGGAAACGACUGCUAAUACCGCAUACGCCCUACGGGGGAAAGGAGGGGACCUUCGGGCCUUUCGCGAUUAGAUGAGUCUAGGUGGGAUUAGCUAGUAGGUGAGGUAAUGGCUCACCUAGGCGACGAUCCCUAGCUGUUCUGAGAGGAUGAUCAGCCACACUGGGACUGAGACACGGCCCAGACUCCUACGGGAGGCAGCAGUGGGGAAUAUUGCACAAUGGGCGAAAGCCUGAUGCAGCCAUGCCGCGUGUGUGAAGAAGGCCUUCGGGUUGUAAAGCACUUUCAGCGAGGAGGAAAGGUUGGUAGUUAAUAACUGCCAGCUGUGACGUUACUCGCAGAAGAAGCACCGGCUAACUUCGUGCCAGCAGCCGCGGUAAUACGAGGGGUGCAAGCGUUAAUCGGAAUUACUGGGCGUAAAGCGUACGCAGGCGGUUUGUUAAGCCAGAUGUGAAAGCCCCGGGCUCAACCUGGGAAUUGCAUUUGGAACUGGCAAACUAGAGUCUUGUAGAGGGGGGUAGAAUUUCAGGUGUAGCGGUGAAAUGCGUAGAGAUCUGAAGGAAUACCGGUGGCGAAGGCGGCCCCCUGGACAAAGACUGACGCUCAGGUACGAAAGCGUGGGGAGCAAACAGGA
rnacentral:rRNA from 1 species